UCAACCCUGGGUGGUUCGCCUACUUGCUUAUGGGGUCCAACACAUAAAGUAUUGGAGGAGCCGGUAGACGGCCGGUGUGCGGGCGACAUCGUUUGAGCCCGGAAACGGGCGAGAUGCCGCCCCCUGAAGGCUGUCUCACUCCUCCAUCGUUGGCUUAUCAGGGCCGACACAUAGCAAAUACGGCCACCUGGGGGGUUA
rnacentral:sRNA from 1 species